rnacentral:rRNA from 1 species
UUUCUAUGGUUGACCUCGGAUCAGGUAGGGAUACCCGCUGAACUUAAGCAUAUCAAUAAGCGGAGGA